rnacentral:rRNA from 1 species
AUUGAACGCUGGCGGCAGGCCUAACACAUGCAAGUCGAACGAGUGGCGGACGGGUGAGUAAUGUCUGGGAAACUGCCUGAUGGAGGGGGAUAACUACUGGAAACGGUAGCUAAUACCGCAUACCAUCGGAUGUGCCCAAAUGGGAUUAGCUAGUAGGUGGGGUAAAGGCUCACCUAGGAGACGAUCCCUAGCUGGUCUGAGAGGAUGACCAGCCACACUGGGACUGAGACACGGUCCAGACUCCUACGGGAGGCAGCAGUGGGGAAUAUUGCACAAUGGGCGAAAGCCUGAUGCAGCCAUGCCGCGUGUAUGAAGAAGGCUUUCGGGUUGUAAAGUACUUUUAGCAGGGAGGCGUUACCCGAAGAAGAAGCACCGGCUAACUCCGUGCCAGCAGCCGCGGUAAUAC